rnacentral:ncRNA from 1 species
CAGAUAGAGGUCGCGGUUUUUAUCAGUAGCGGCGGUCAGGGCCCCGGGGCCCGGCGACCCGCCGUGAAAGGAAACGCCGCCGAAGGCGCUGCCUCCCCGGAGGGGGACGCGCUUGGUCGUCCGGGCGAAGAGCCCCUCGACUGUCGCCGCAGGGGAGCGGCGGAGCGCUGUCUGG